ACGGAAGGCAGCAGUGGGGGAUAUUGGACAAUGGGGGAAACCCUGAUCCAGCGACGCCGCGUGAGUGAAGAAGUAUUUCGGUAUGUAAAGCUCUAUCAGCAGGGAAGAAAAAAUCAAAAUUGACUGUACCUGACUAAGAAGCCCCGGCUAACUACGUGCCAGCAGCCGCGGUAAUACGUAGGGGGCAAGCGUUAUCCGGAUUUACUGGGUGUAAAGGGAGUGUAGGCGGCCAGACAAGUCAGAAGUGAAAACCCGGGGCUUAACCCCGGGACUGCUUUUGAAACUGCCAGGCUUGAGUGCAGGAGAGGUAAGCGGAAUUCCUAGUGUAGCGGUGAAAUGCGUAGAUAUUAGGAAGAACACCGGUGGCGAAGGCGGCUUACUGGACUGAGACUGACGCUGAGGCUCGAAAGCGUGGGGAGCAAACAGGAUUAGAUACCCUGGUA
rnacentral:rRNA from 1 species